rnacentral:rRNA from 1 species
CCUACGGGCGGCAGCAGUGAGGAAUAUUGGUCAAUGGACGCAAGUCUGAACCAGCCAUGCCGCGUGCAGGAAGACGGCCCUAUGAGUUGUAAACUGCUUUUGUACGAGGGUAAACGCAGACACGCGUACCUUUCUGAAAGUACUGUAUGAAUAAGGAUCGGCUAACUCCGUGCCAGCAGCCGCGGUAAUACGGAGGAUCCAAGCGUUAUCCGGAUUUAUUGGGUUUAAAGGGUGCGUAGGCGGUCGGAUAAGUUAGAGGUGAAAUUCCGCGGCUCAACUUUGGAAUUGCCACUGAUACUGGUAGGCUAGAGAGUAGUUGAGGUAGGCGGAAUGUGUGGUGUAGCGGUGAAAUGCUUAGAGAUCAUACAGAACACCGAUUGCGAAGGCAGCUUACCAAGCUGCUUCUGACGUUGAGGCACGAAAGCGUGGGGAGCAAACAGGAUUAGAUACCCCAGUAGUC